CAGUCGCCGCGGGAAUACGAAGGGGGCUAGCGUUGCUCGGAAUUACUGGGCGUAAAGGGAGCGUAGGCGGACAUUUAAGUCAGGGGCGAAAUCCCAGAGCUCAACUCUGGAACUGCCUUUGAUACUGGGUGUCUUGAGUGUGAUAGAGGUAUGUGGAACUCCGAGUGUAGAGGUGAAAUUCGUAGAUAUUCGGAAGAACACCAGUGGCGAAGGCGACAUACUGGAUCAUUACUGACGCUGAGGCUCGAAAGCGUGGGGAGCAAACAGGAUUAGAUACCCGUGUAGUCCCUGUCUCUUAUAC
rnacentral:rRNA from 1 species